rnacentral:rRNA from 1 species
AUUGAACGCUGGCGGCAUGCCUUACACAUGCAAGUCGAACGGCAGCACGGGUGCUUGCACCUGGUGGCGAGUGGCGAACGGGUGAGUAAUACAUCGGAACGUACCUUAUCGUGUGGGAUAACGCAGCGAAAGCUGUGCUAAUACCGCAUACGCCCUGAGGGGGUAAGCGGGGGAUCGAAAGACCUCGCGCGAUUAGAGCGGCCGAUGCCUGAUUAGCUUGUUGGUGGGGUAAAAGCCCACCAAGGCGAGGAUCAGUAGCUGGUCUGAGAGGACGAUCAGCCACACUGGGACUGAGACACGGCCCAGACUGCUACGGGGGGCAGCAGUGGGGAAUUUUGGACGAUGGGGGCAACCCUGAUACAGCAAUGCCGCGUGAGUGAAGAAGGCCUUCGGGUUGUAAAGCUUUUUUGGCAGGGAAGAAACACCGGCUCUAACACAGUCCGGGAAUGACGGUACCUGAAGAAUAAGCACCGGCUAACUACGUGCCAGCAGCCGCCGUAA